CAGUCGCCGCGGGAAUACAGAGGGUGCGAGCGUUAAUCGGAUUUACUGGGCGUAAAGCGUGCGUAGGCGGAUUCUUAAGUCGGAUGUGAAAUCCCUGAGCUUAACUUAGGAAUUGCAUUCGAUACUGGGAAGCUAGAGUAUGGGAGAGGAUGGUAGAAUUCCAGGUGUAGCGGUGAAAUGCGUAGAGAUCUGGAGGAAUACCGAUGGCGAAGGCAGCCAUCUGGCCUAAUACUGACGCUGAGGUACGAAAGCAUGGGGAGCAAACAGGAUUAGAUACCCGUGUAGUCCCUGUCUCUUAUAC
rnacentral:rRNA from 1 species